UUCAUAUAGAAUGAUGCACAACUAUAGAUGUGAGCAUCCCUCAAAACAUAAUGUUGAGUGUUAAAUCAUUGUCACGGAUGAGUUUCUUCAGUAUGACUUUAUUUAUGUUAAGUUCAAACUGAGGCCAAAAUGAACAGGUUGUAUUUAUUGGUUAUCUCUCGUAGGGGGCAGGAAUUGCAAGCAAGGAUGACAAAAUAAGAAGCUUUAGACAUCCCUACUACAAGGGUAUUAGCAAUCAUUUGGACCACAACAACUGGAAGGGUUCAGUGACUUGCCUGAGAUCACAUACCCAGCAAGUUGUCUGGAACCCACUAUGCAACACUGGAGCCAUACUCUCCAAGCAUUUCACUGCCGUACCUCCAUUCCAGAUGUUCCGAAUAUUGGAGACAGACGUUUAUUUUAUUUCCUUGGUUCCCAUUUCACAUGAAGCUUUUGCACAAAGAAGGGAGCAGCGAUGGAGCAGAAAGAUAUGUGGAUGAAACUGAGC